rnacentral:ncRNA from 2 species
UGUACAAAAUUCUGCACGGGCAUGCAUUUUUGUGGGGGAACGGCGUGAAAUUCGUCGGCAGUCCCGCUACGGUAAGCCUCAAAAGAGGACAAGUCCGAAUGCCCGACCGUAUGUAAUCAGAGCG